AGGACUAUAGUCUAAAUAAAGACAUAUAAGUUGCAUUUAUAAAAUAUUUACAAAAAUUAGUUCUA
rnacentral:tRNA from 1 species